CCCCAGGAAACACUGAUCCCGGAUGAGCCCUCAAAUGGAAGAUCCCCAAAGAGAGACCCUUACUUAAGUCCUGGGAAAUCGCAGACCCCAGACACAGAGACCA
rnacentral:pre_miRNA from 14 species